GUUCACGUGUGCCUCGCACUGCCGCGUCUGUUGAACUGAGGCGCUACAGCGAUCGGUCACUCCACAUUAAACAGCGCCAAAACGGCAUUUAUUGUUUGAAUACUGCAAUGCAAUGGGCAUAAAUUGAAAUCUGAGAUUUUGUUUCAAAUUAAAAGUACCA